AUAAUACCUUUAGCUUCCAGUGCAAAUCUACCCACCAGUUUAUUUCGCGUAUGGCAAAAAUGUUAAAAAGCAGAUCACAGUUACAUUCUCAAAUGAGCAAAUAUGAAACUACUUACUCUAGUUACAACUUCAAAGAACAACAGGAAUGCACAGCUUAAUGAAUCAGAGAACGGAAGAUCUUAAACCUCCUCAGGAUAGGAAAGAUUUAUUAGGAUUCAGGAGACCCUGUUGGAAUUGUGGAUCUAAGGAAACAUUCACAGCUGGGACUUUGUUCUCCCUCACACGGUUGUGGAAAGCCAGGCUGAAUUUGGGAGAGGAUAUUAGGCCCAUCCUCAGCAGGAUGACUUGGAUAUGCCGAGUUACUGUGACAAGAAGAACAGCCAUAUAAAUAGCAAUGAAUAAAUAAUAUUCUGAUCAGAAUCAAAUCAGCUUUUUUCUUAAAAAAAAAGAAAAAGGAAUGAGCAGGAAGUGCAAAUGAUUGCCGCAACUGCUGUUCUUCCCCUGUGGAGAUUUAGCCAUUACACUGAAAGCUGCUUCUCUGAUGAAUUUUAUCCCUCUUUGUAACACUUUUCUGUCUUUCUAUCCAAUUAUCCCUUCUUCUCAUCUUAGCUCUAUCUUGCC